GCGGACAGAAGGGAGCUUGCUCCCGGAUGUUAGCGGCGGACGGGUGAGUAACACGUGGGUAACCUGCCUGUAAGACUGGGAUAACUCCGGGAAACCGGAGCUAAUACCGGAUAGUUCCUUGAACCGCAUGGUUCAAGGAUGAAAGACGGUUUCGGCUGUCACUUACAGAUGGACCCGCGGCGCAUUAGCUAGUUGGUGGGGUAAUGGCUCACCAAGGCGACGAUGCGUAGCCGACCUGAGAGGGUGAUCGGCCACACUGGGACUGAGACACGGCCCAGACUCCUACGGGAGGCAGCAGUAGGGAAUCUUCCGCAAUGGACGAAAGUCUGACGGAGCAACGCCGCGUGAGUGAUGAAGGUUUUCGGAUCGUAAAGCUCUGUUGUUAGGGAAGAACAAGUGCGAGAGUAACUGCUCGCACCUUGACGGUACCUAACCAGAAAGCCACGGCUAACUACGUGCCAGCAGCCGCGGUAAUACGUAGGUGGCAAGCGUUGUCCGGAAUUAUUGGGCGUAAAGGGCUCGCAGGCGGUUUCUUAAGUCUGAUGUGAAAGCCCCCGGCUCAACCGGGGAGGGUCAUUGGAAACUGGGAAACUUGAGUGCAGAAGAGGAGAGUGGAAUUUCCACGUGUAGCGGUGAAAUGCGUAGAGAUGUGGAGGAACACCAGUGGCGAAGGCGACUCUCUGGUCUGUAACUGACGCUGAGGAGCGAAAGCGUGGGGAGCGAACAGGAUUAGAUACCCUGGUAGUCCACGCCGUAAACGAUGAGUGCUAAGUGUUAGGGGGUUUCCGCCCCUUAGUGCUGCAGCUAACGCAUUAAGCACUCCGCCUGGGGAGUACGGUCGCAAGACUGAAACUCAAAGGAAUUGACGGGGGCCCGCACAAGCGGUGGAGCAUGUGGUUUAAUUCGAAGCAACGCGAAGAACCUUACCAGGUCUUGACAUCCUCUGACAACCCUAGAGAUAGGGCUUUCCCUUCGGGGACAGAGUGACAGGUGGUGCAUGGUUGUCGUCAGCUCGUGUCGUGAGAUGUUGGGUUAAGUCCCGCAACGAGCGCAACCCUUGAUCUUAGUUGCCAGCAUUCAGUUGGGCACUCUAAGGUGACUGCCGGUGACAAACCGGAGGAAGGUGGGGAUGACGUCAAAUCAUCAUGCCCCUUAUGACCUGGGCUACACACGUGCUACAAUGGACAGAACAAAGGGCUGCAAGACCGCAAGGUUUAGCCAAUCCCAUAAAUCUGUUCUCAGUUCGGAUCGCAGUCUGCAACUCGACUGCGUGAAGCUGGAAUCGCUAGUAAUCGCGGAUCAGCAUGCCGCGGUGAAUACGUUCCCGGGCCUUGUACACACCGCCCGUCACACCACGAGAGUUUGCAACACCCGAAGUCGGUGAGGUAACCUUUA
rnacentral:rRNA from 1 species